AAAAAACCCCCCCAAAUGACAAAGGUCUAACCUUUGUUAUUAGAUUAGAAGGUGAAAGGCAGGAUUGACAGGAUUGCCUCUCAUUUUUUUUUUUUUUAAUGGCUCGUGUCUGCAAAAUGUGUACUAUUGAGUUUCAAGAUGUUUCCAUAGGGAAUCCCCAUGGUUGAUUAGGAUCAUGGUGAGAUUUAAUGAUAUUUUAGGGUUGAUGAUGGACCUCUCUCUCUCUCUCUCUCUCUCUGAUAGCACAGGAUAGAAUUUUUUUUUGCACUCAUCACCUACAAUCGGCAGAGGCGCUGAAAAUUUAUAGUUACAAGGGCUUGAUUUGUUUUCUGAAUUCUUUAGCUUUCUGCGUGUCACGACUUUCCCCUCUUAAUUAGGUGAAAGAGGGGAAACCAUUAAUCUCUGAAAUCAUUAACGCAUUGAUUAAUUUCCUUACAAUUCAUUCCUUAUUCGCUUUAGUGCAGAAAGCUAAAGAAUUCCACAUUGUCUCUAGCUUCAGUAUUUUUAGUUUGAUCUCUGUGGAAACCAUCGAAUUUUCUAGCCAUGAAGAACUCCAUAUGAUUAAUUUGCAGUGAAGCAGAGGACGAAGGUGAAGAUGAAUCAAUCUUCCUUAUCUGUUAGAAGUCUCAGAGCCCUCCAUCAUGAAACAGGACAUUUUUAGAGUCCAGCAAGAGGUGAGGAAGUGAGCUUCUCAACUCUCAAGUAUAUAGGAAGGCAUUAAGUAUCUGAACAAACCAAUGUAGGAGGACUAUACAUUUGUAAUUCUGAACAACUCGAUCAUGCACUGGAUCCAACUUUGCAUCAGUGGUUGGAUUAUUGUACAAAACUGUAGAUUCCUUUCCCGAGGCAGUGGUUGGCUGUCAAGUUGAUAUUAUAUUUGGUGA